UACGGAGGAUCCGAGCGUUAUCCGGAUUUAUUGGGUUUAAAGGGUGCGUAGGCGGCCUAUUAAGUCAGGGGUGAAAGACGGUAGCUUAACUAUCGCAGUGCCUUUGAUACUGAUAGGCUUGAAUAUACUUGAGGUAGGCGGAAUGUGACAAGUAGCGGUGAAAUGCAUAGAUAUCGUAAGGAAGACCAGUGGCGAAGGCGAAUCUCUGGACAGUUACUGACGCUGAGGCACGAAGGCCAGGGGAGCAAACGGG
rnacentral:rRNA from 1 species